GUGCUCCCUUCUGCAGCACAGAUAUUAAAACUAGAACAAUUCAAUUGAGAUUAGCAUGGCCCCUGAACAAGGUUGACAUGCAAAUUCAUGAAGUUUCUAUGUAUAAAUAUAU